CCGCUGCCGGGUGACACGUGUAGCUGGGCUCCCUGUGUCUGGGACAAGUGUUCCUGGCCUGGUGCAGCAGAGAGAAGGCUCACAGGGUCCAGUUGCAGUGAGAAGCAUCACGACACAGUCUUAUCUUUACAGGAAACUCCCUGUGUACCCAGGAUACUGCACAGGUCACUGAGCAGCCAUCUCCCCAUUGCCUGAAGUCUUCUCAAGGAAACUCAUUUGUUUAAGUUUUUCCACUUCAAUUUCUUCAAAGUGAGCCCUGAUAUACAGCACACAAAGGGAACAACUUAACUAACAGUAAGUGGCACAGAAACACCACAUUGAUUGGUGGUUAUUUUCCUUCUCUGGAGCUCUUGUUCUUCUGUUUUGUGCUGAACAGUGCAUCUGCAGAACCCAGAGUAUCCCAGGAGGAAGAAAGGCAAAUCAGAGCCAGUUUCCAGGGUAGCACUCAAGGCAGGAGGAAGGGAUCUACACUGAGUGUCCAUAGCACAUACAGUAUAAGUGCUCUACUGGAGGUGGCCAGCUCUGUCUGAUUGCAGUCUGAGUAGCGCUGCUGCUUAACCUUUCCCUUCAUCUGAAGCUUUCUUCAAGGAGGCAUUUUAUCUCAAGGUGAAUUGUUUUAGCUGGAGGCCAGCCACAGGUUGGCAGCAAUCUUGUAUUGCAGGGCUCAGUGACCCCCAUUUCCCAUCCUUUUAUGUUAUAGUGAGUUUUCCAGCCAUGAGGAGUACCAAGAAGAGCCUCUGGCUCUUGAAGAAGAAAUGCCCCCAGCGACUGCUCUGCAAGAAGACCUGCCAGCUCAGCUCUCAUCUUGGCAAACAGGCUGAUGGAGCAGGACUUAUUCAGGUCAUCCUGCCACUGGUCCUUACUCCCAGUGUCUUCCUGGGCUACCUCACCCAAAAUGAAGACCAGAGGCCUUCAGUGGUCUUUCCCAAAUGGCAUUGCUUUGUGGCUCAGCCAUCUCCAGCCAUGUUUAUGUGAGGCUUUGCUAGCUCCUGAUCCCAGGUCCAACCUCCUGCUCCAAGCAGGGCUAACGUAGGCUGCCCAAGGCCUUUCCCAGCUGAUAUGAAAAUCUCUGAGGAUGCAGAUUUCAGAUGUUCUCCAAAUAACAGAAGGUAGGUCUAGGAGGCUGAGCUUGGGCCCCUGAAUGGCCCCACUGCCUUGCUUUGGUAAUGAUAUAAAUAAAUGAUAUUGUUGCAAUUUCAAGGCCAGUUCUGAAAAACUGUUUAGCCCUAAUCCCAAAUCGAAAAAUAGUUCCAGCUUUCCCUCAAAGCUAAGUACAUCUGGGGCCUAGGAGUUUGCAUUUGGCCCAUUGUAAAGAGAGCCACAGAGCUGAAGCCAAAGAGACUUGCCUAACCAGGGCUAUAAAUUCUUGCUAUUUGCAGGGACAAUUGACCCAGGAACAUGAGGUUGCAACUUCGUGAUUUUACAUUAAGCUCUUAAGGCUCCAUUCCAGCCGUUUUCCUGGCGCUUGCUUUGUGGCAAAACUACAGCUGCUGUGACUGCAUGGGAACCAAUCCAGCUGAAAAAUACCCUGCCCGAGGAAAAGAUCCUCUUAUUUUGCUCACCAUGAUGGGCUGAGGAAGAGAAGCAUGGGAUGGUGGGAUUGCUUCUGUCAGUGCCAGUCUGUGCUUAGGGAGAUGGUCAAACUGCUGUUUGUGGUGGUGGAACCGGUGAUCCCAUGCACCCUGCACACAUAGUUCCUUCGAAGGGGCAUGUGGGUCAAAACAAGAAGGAUUCCUAAAGUCAUGGGUCAGGCUGAUUUCUAAGAGCUGCAAAAGAGAGCACAUGCUUUAUGGCUCCAAACCAUUUCUGCUCAUGUGGAAAGGAUUAAAGAUAAAAACAACCCUGCUAUUCACUUUGCUCCAGAGCUGUUUCAAUCCUGUCUGUCUGUUGCUCCAGAGAAGCUCUGACAGGAGCUAUUAUCUGUGAUCCAAAACUGUAGCUCAUAUCCCCAGGGUAGCUCAUAGGAUCUACCUUCUCUUGCCAGAGAAUGAGGCAUCGCUGGGUACCGGUCACAGUAGUUUGUAAAUGUUUGGUGCCAGCCUGGCUGUUUUCUUGCAGGACCCUCCAGUUUACAUCUCUGCUCAAAAUGUGGAGCUGUGGGGCUCAGCAAAGCACUGAUACCACACAUGGAGCUUCUUGUAGCUGUGCAGCUGCAAUCACGGAUAGUGAAAACUCAUGCAAGGGCAGCCUUGUUACUUGGAAAUGCUAGAAAGUUUCCACAUCCUGUUCCUAUCCCAUUGACUGCACCUGAGUGAAUGCCCACUGGUUUUCUCCACCAGGACGUCAGCAGAUCCUGUAGUUUGUUUUGCACUGAAAUGUCUCUUCUUGGGUAAAUAUUACAUCUGAGGUUGCUUUGCCAGUGGCUUUCCUACCCGGAGUUUGUACAACAGGUCAAUGCCCUGCUCAGAGAUAAAAGGAAUACUUGCUGUGGGUGCUGUUUGCUGCUCUGCAAUGCCACUCUGCUGUUCCCUCACCAGUUUCUCUUUAAAGGUUUCUGAAUGCUGCUGAAGUCCUGGAGGUUUUAGCAAAGUGAGGGAAAUUUAAGACGAGCCAUCGAGGGCUUGGACAGAGCAGAAGGGCAGAGCAGGAGUUUGUUUGUUCCAACAGCCGUGGCUUGUAAAUUAUUCAUCUGUGUGCAACUGAAACAUGCAGAUCCUCAAAGGUUGCGUUACAAAGGGUGAGGUGAAGGAUCAGCAAGCUUCGAGCAAAACAGGAAGGUUAACAGGUUCUGGGGAGCCCUUCUCCUUCCACUUGCAUCUGCUCAACAAAAAUGCCUGCUUGCAGAAGAAAAUUGAGUCGCCAGUAAAUGAAACAAUGCACUAACACAGAGAUGUGUGUACGUGGUAGGGAGGCCAACUGCAAAAACAGUUUUCCCUCUACUGGAAACAGAUUUGAAGCUGAUUGCAAUGAAAUGUAUGGAGAACCUGUGAGCACCGAAUGCACAAGAGGCUCUAGCCUCUGUGAAGUGGGGAAAAAGUUUCCAAAGAUCAAGAGAGAUCAGAAGAGCAGGCUAAGCAGAAAAGAAGCCAGCGUGCUUCUGCUCAGCAAUUCUGUCUCCAGACGAAACCAGACUUCAACUAAUUAAAAAGAGCAGAUGCUAGCUGGAACAUUAAUUGGAACAACUAUAUUUUGACUGUGCUUAGGUCUAUUUUAGCUCUCUUGUUGUAGGUUUGGAGAGAGGUAAGUAACUCUUUAGCAGGCCUCUUGUUUUGUUACACACCACAUACUUAGGGCAUAAUGAAAUAUCUAUGAAUAGGUUUGGAUCCUCUUUUUUCAGGGGCAAACAAUUCUCCAUCUAAUAAUGCACAGCCAUCAAACUCAGCAUUCUCAGCCCUUUUUUCUCACGGUACUGGUAGUAAAGUGAUCUUCCUUGGCUUGGGGAGGCCUUGUAAGCAGUGCUGGGCAUGGGGCCAGCUGCUGUUCUUCCUGAUAUGUAUUGUAUUAAUGGACACCUCUUUAACCUGUGCACAUUUGCUUCUCUCUGCCUGUGUCCCUUCUCAUUAGGCUUGUGUGCUCUGCAGAAAGUGCAGAGAGCUUAGCUGACAUCUGAUACACUUAUAAAUAGCCCGUCUGCCCUGCUAUGGUUCUGCAGCUAUCCCAACAUGAGCAAACACUCAACGUAUUGCACUCUUCCUGGAACUGGGAUGCUAUCGAAGAUUUUCCUCCAAUACAUCCAAACUUUGCCUCUGCUGGAAGCCGGACACUUGACUGCUGCUCUGUUACAGAUUGGCAGUUCUUUGGUCUUGUCCUUGUCUCCAAUUCCUUCCUAAGAGACAAAGGAAAGGCAUCAUCUGAGUAACAAGGCUCUAUCACUACUCCUGUCCUUCCUGCUCCAGUGCUGGGUGCAGACAGGGGCUCAGUUGGUUCAAGCUCUUGUCCUCAGAGCCCUCAGCAGAGGGGAUGGGUCCUCCUGAGCUGUCACCCUCUUUCUUUUCCAAGGCAGGGCAAAAGUCCCUGUCCUGUAACACAGAACCGGUCACAUUCUAAAUGGUGCUUGUCCCCUGUGCCUUUACAGACAGGACCUAAAACCUCCUCCCCUCCUCUGAGCAUUCUCUCAUAGCAGUGCUGCCAACACUAAUUCUAGUGUAACUUCAUUUUUUUUGGCUGUUCUCU